rnacentral:lncRNA from 1 species
ACUGGCGCCUGGGGGGGUCUAGGGAGGGGUUUGGGGGGGGCUGGGGGGGGCUGGGGGGGUCUGGGGGGGCUGGGGGGGUCUAGAAGGGAUUGGGAGGGGUCUAGGAGGGGACUUGGGGGAGGGGUUGGGGGGUCUAGGGGGGAUUUGGGGGAGCUAGAAGGGGAUUUGGGAGGUCUGGGGGGGGAUUUGGGGGAGCUAGGGAAGGGAUUUGGGGGGGUCUGGAGGGGCCUUGAGGAGUCUAGGAGGGGAUUUGGGGGGGUCUAAGAAGGAUUGGGGGGUUUAGGAGGGGAUUUGGGGGGUCUAGGAGGGAUUUGGGGGGUCUAGGAGGGGAUUUGGGGAAGCUAGAAGGGGAUUUGGGGGGCGAGGGAGGGAUUUGGGGGGUCUGGAGGGGGUUUGGGGGGGUCGAGGAGGGGUCUUGGGGGAUCUAGGAGGGGAUUUUGGGGGGGAUUUGGGGGGGUCGAGGAGGACUGGGGGGUCUGGGGGGGUUAGGAUGGGGUUUUGGGGGGGUCUUGAGGGGUCUGGGAGAAUUUGGGGGGCUCCAGGAGGGGGUUUGGGGUGGAAUCUCGGGGGGUCUUGGAGGGGAUUUUGGGGGGUUUGGGGGGUCUGGUGGGGGCUUUGGGGGGGUUUGGGGGGGUUGGGGGCUUUCUGGGGGGGUUAAGUUGGUCUGGGUGGGCUCCCGGUGUUCCGGGGGGGUCCCGGUGUCCCCGGGGGUCUCUUUUGGGCUCCCGGUGUCCCCGGGGGUCUCUCGCUGCCCCCACCCCGGUGCUCCGGGGGGGUCCCGCUCUGCUCCGCUGGGGGCUGAAAGGCGAGAGGGGAAACUGAGGCACGCGGGGGGGUCCCCGAGCCCCGGUUCCUCCCGGUUCCCCCCGGUUCCGCCCCGGUUCCUCCCGCUCCCCGGGCCCGGCCCCCCCGCGGGACCCCCGGCCCCGCCCGGCUCCGGUUCCCGCCGGCCCCGCCCCCUCCCGCACGCGGUCCCGGCCCCCCCGAGCUCGGUCUCGGUCCCGGUUCCGUUUCCGGUUCCGGUUCCGGUUUCGGUCCCGGUUCCCCCUCACCGGCCGGGCGCUGCUGCCGGAGCGGCACUUCCGGGAGGGCGUGGCCAAGUCCCGCCCACACCAAUCAGCGCCACCGCCCCGCCCCGCGCGGACCAAUCAGUGCAGCCGCCCCGCCCCGUCCGGACCAAUGGGAGGCGGGAGGGGCAGGAAAGGGCGUGGCCGCUCCCUCCUUCCCCCCUCCAGCGCCGCCGGCAAUGGGCGCGCCCGCGCGCGCAGCCAAUCAGGAGCCAGCACGGAGC